CGGAUCCCCAACGCAACUGUAAAUAAAAUUGUAAAUAUUCUAAUUUCAAAAGUGUACAAUUCCGAAUUUCAAAUUCGAACAUGUUCGCGUGUGUAUAGAUAAUUUAGUUAUUUUUUUAGGCAACGGAAUAGAUAACGAACCAAGAUGAUCGACCCCAGCUCCUCAGAGGAAGACAGUGAUGAUGAACAUAAGAAGCAACCAGCCAAAUUACCAGUAGUGCCCCCCGGGUCGAUCGCGGGCGGCCGGCCCUCAGUCCGGGGGAAGCCGGAGUUGCCGCGAGGGUCUACUGCUGGUCUUCCAGGC